UACGUAGGGUGCAAGCGUUAAUCGGAAUUACUGGGCGUAAAGCGUGCGCAGGCGGCUUUGCAAGACAGAUGUGAAAUCCCCGGGCUUAACCUGGGAACUGCAUUUGUGACUGUACGGCUAGAGUGUGUCAGAGGGGGGUAGAAUUCCACGUGUAGCAGUGAAAUGCGUAGAGAUGUGGAGGAAUACCGAUGGCGAAGGCAGCCCCCUGGGAUAACACUGACGCUCAUGCACGAAAGCGUGGGGAGCAAACAGG
rnacentral:rRNA from 1 species